AGGAUCAGUUCCUCAGCUGAUACGACAAGAAAGCUCAUUGUGUUGGUGGGGGCAGAUGUGACUCUCAGCUGCCGGUUUGAUAAACUGUCCAAGCUGUUGGAGUUGAGCACUCUAACCAUUGAGUGGAACAUGGUGGAUAAACAUGCAGAGAAGAGCGUCGUGUACACUUUUGAGGAUGGUAGAGCACAUGGGAGCAGAGAUGGCUCUGUGGUGGAUAGAAUGAAGUUGCUAGAAAGUGAUGCCUCUCUGCAGCUUCGUAAUGUGACUGUGAGAGAUGAAGGGCUGUACACCUGCAGAAUCAUCACACCUGUGGUCUACACAGAGACCACUUCACUGGAAGUGCUGGCUCUGCCUUCAGUGUUUCUCCCAGAAAAGGCAGCAGUGACAGAGGGGGAGGAGAAGACCAUACAGUGUGACAUCACAGGUUUCUAUCCAGAGAAACUUGCCGUGACAUGGCUCAUCCAAAAUGGCUCCCACACUGUCCACGCAGGUGCCAACCACCUCUCCCGUGUCUGCACCGAAAUGGCCAUUCACAAUCCAGAUGGCACCUACAGUAUUCGCAGUGGCCUCACACUGCACUCGUCAGCAGUGAAAGAUGCAGAGAUACACAUAAUCUGCCAGGUGGAGCACCAGACUUACAGCCGGCCGUACAGCAGAUUUGUUACACUGACUGUUCAGGCGCCAUCACAGCCUCUUUACAGUGCUGUCACACUGAUAGCUGUCACCAGUGUCAUCAGUCUGCUGCUGGUCACCUCUGUCAUUGGAGGCGCGUUGAUUCUCUACAGGUAUUUCUGUAAAGCUCCACCAAGUGUUUCUGAAAUCAGCCAACCCAGCAUCAUAUAUGCUCAGGUGCAGACCGACCUCAAAUGCACCAUCCGAGGAGCAAGACAGCAGGAGCUUAAAGUGAAAUGGUUUAAAUUAAGAAGCAGCGCAGACUCAGUGGUCCAGUCAGAAUCUGAUCCCCUGUUGGUCAGUGAGGAUCUGAGUGAACAGGCUUGUCUCCAGUCAGAUGGCACACACCACACAUCUGUCCUGACUGUGUGUCUGACUGUCAAUGAAGACCUGACCAAAUACCAGUGUGUGGUGCUGUGCAGGGGCAAGAGCGUCAGCAGAAAGACCACAGUCCAGGUGAAAGUGGAGCCGUCUUUCCUACAGAUCUCCAGCAUCCCUCAGAUCCCCAAGGUGGAAAGGCUGCUGGUUCUCUGCUGUAGGGUGGAGAACUUCUACCCCCAGGACAUCGACCUGGAGUGGUCCAGGAACGAUGGGGAGCAGGUGUGCACCGUGAAACACUUUGGACCUUUUUCCGACCACAACCGCCUCUUCAGCGUGUGGAGUAAGAUUGAGCUGGUCAUGGCCAGAGAGGAUGAGAGUGCCGUCUACACCUGCCGUGUUUACCACUCCAGCUUCUCUGCUCCGGGUUACAAAGAUGUCCUGUACCACAUCAACACUCAAGGAACUCCUCCUAAUGUGAUGUUCAUUGACUGUGAACCGUUGUGUCCUCUGUUGAAUGAAGAAUGUACACUGCACCUGUGCGUCAAAGACUUCUGUCCUGAGGACGUGUCAGUGACUUGGACUAAAGAUGGAGAGAUGGUUUCCUGCUUCAACACUCCCCCGAGCCUAAACAUCAAUGGCCUCUACUCCAUGUUCAGUUUUCUCAAACUCAUCCCCAACAAGGAUGACCAGGGCUCCAAGUUCAGGUGCCAGGUGGUCCACAGUGCCCAGAGGGAGCCUGAGGAGAGGCUCUUCACCCUGUGUGCAAGUCACAAUCUGCAUCUGAUAUCUGAAGGCUUCUGAUGUCCUCACUGAUCUCUUGUAUUUAAAUCUACAUGGUUUUAUUUGUGAAGGUUGGGAUGCAGAUUAGUAGAGAUGAAACAGAGUUUGGAACUUAAAAAAAAAAUCUGGUCCUGUCUGCCUCUGAUAUGAUGGGCAUUGUUAAGUAUCAGAUACUAAAAGCCUAGUUCAGCCUCUCUCUCUCUCUCUCUCUGGGAAGUAUCAGAUACUACAGCCUAGUUCAGCCUCUCUCUCUCUCUCUCUGGGAAGUAUGCUAAAGUGUGGCUGGCCCACCAACCUCCAAACGGGGACAGUCCUGAGACAUACAUUCCCUUAUCCAACAGGUUCUCACUCCCAUCUCGUAAAAUACGGACGCUUGGUCAGGUGCCUUUGUCGUUGUUAUUGACGCUAAAAGUCUCCUUUAGUGUCAUAUAACUUGCUUUAACUAAACACGCUUGAUUGGGACUAUUGGCGUCCCUUUUGACGCAGUUAAGUCAAGGAAAACGUUGUGGGUGGGCUUACGUUUCCAUGACACACAGGAACGGGGCGGUUGGGUUUAGAAAAAGGUUGUGGGUGGGCUUAAGAUUCCAUGACACGCUGGAAUAACGCAACGGUUAAAGAAGAAAGCGACUUUAGGAAACGUGACAAGCGGGACACAAACCCCGCGCUCCUGUUUGAAAGUCCUGUGUUUGACCCACCUGCCACCCCAACCAUUCUCCUUACAUGGAAUCUUCGGCCUUACAUACUACACGCUAAACCCUGUGUAGCCGGUACGUUAUACAAACACGCUGAAGAAUGCCUUUUUCGUCGCUUUAGCUGACAGCCACUGUCCAAACGUCCGUAUUUUACGAGUUCAGAGUGAGAACGGGUUGCCUUAUCAUGCAGUACCAUUCAACAUUGACAUUCAAUUCAAUUAAAUGUAUAGUGUCAAAUCACAACAGGAGUGAUCUCAGGACACUUUACAGAUAGAGUAGGUCUAGACCACACUCUAUAAUAGACUCAACAAUUCCCCCCCAAGAGGCUGAACUUAGUACAACAGCAGCGAGGAAAAACUUCCCUAUUUAAAUGUAGCUACAUGCCAUAAUGUCAGGGAAACCUGUACUCUUGGUUGUGGAAGGUUGUUAAUUUCUCCAUAAUUUCGGAUCACAUUCCUAACAAUGUAAGUGUGUGUCGCUGAGCUAUUGGAUCGAUAAUAUCAGCUGAUGUGACCAACUAAUAAGAUAAUUAUAGCUAAGUUAGAUAAUGGACAGGACAGCAGGGGCUGAAUCUCACUUCCCUUAAUUGCAUCAAUGUUUCCUCCACUUGCUUCCCUUCCUCGCCUUUGAGUCUGUCCCACCGAGAAAGCAUGGGAGAGACAGAGGAAACCACGUGAGGAGAGGAAACAAGGAAAUGUGUUUUAGAGGGAUGAGACGUCCUUUGCUCUAAAGAUCCUGACACACCAACCCGAUUAUGGGCCGUCGGACAGUCUGGCGAGGUCAGCGACUCGAGUCUGUUCGGUGUAUUCGGUGCCGUCGUCAGUCGGAAGGGCCGUCAGCCUUCAUUUGGGCUGAUUUGACAUGUUGAAUCUGAAGGCGGGCAGUCGGACUCAAUGACCAAUCUGAUCUAACCCGGAAAUGACGAGCGGGAUGAGCA